rnacentral:rRNA from 1 species
UUAGCCUACGGGAGGCAGCAGUUAUUCCUCUUGGUCCCUUUCCUGGAGGCUGAACCAGCCAAGUCGCGUGAGGGAAGACGGCCCUACGGGUUGUAAACCUCUUUUGUCAGGGAGCAAGGGGCGGGUCGAGACCUGCUGUGAGAGUACCUGAAGAAAAAGCAUCGGCUAACUCCGUGCCAGCAGCCGCGGUAAUACGGAGGAUGCGAGCGUUAUCCGGAUUUAUUGGGUUUAAAGGGUGCGCAGGCGGAGGCACAAG